GUGUUUCAGUGGUGAAUAGGCCCAGGUAUGCUCUUGAGCUGGUUUUGAAUUUUUGUGGUGACAGCUGUGUUUGAAGUCUUGGUUCAGAAUUCCACCCUUCCACAGGAUCUUCUCUUACCCCUCUGGGCUGCCGGGACCCCUUCGCCAUCCAAGGAUUGGCUUGUGCUUGGAAGAAGAGAAGCCAUCUGCCCAUGAGAUCUUCAGAGGGUUCAUGCAGUGUCACACCUGAGUCAUAGGCUAAGCUUCCAGGGUGGGCAGAUGCUUGCCACGAACAGCAGGAUGAAUCCCUACAAUCAGUGAGGCUGGAAGUAUAGGCUCUUGAGAUCUAAUUACAAGAUAUUUGGUUGCUGGAAUGUCUCUGGAAACCUCCUCUGGACUUGCACAAGAACUUUUUCAUCCUUGGAGUGUAGAAAUACCACAAUAGACUCUGAAGUUCUGGAGGAAGGUCAAGGCUCUGGAUCUGCAUGAAUCCCAGGCAAUCUAAUUCAGCCCCUCCCCCCACAAAGGUAUGUUUCCCAUCACCAAAGCAUCUUGAGACUGGUGAUUAUUCUAGAAAGCAGACUCUUAGUGAGACUUUGACUUUUAGGAAAAGAAUAUGUAAAUGGAUAUCAUACAAUUGAGACAAGAAAAGGAGGGACUGCUUUAGCUGGAGCUAUUUGGUGAUCAGGUAUGAAAGAGAGAUAGGAUAAAGGGGAAAGAACCCAGGAGGAAAUAUUCUUGGAGACAGAAAACAGAUACUCAAAUGCUCAAACUUUGACCAGCAACAGGAGAGGAGCACACAGAUUUUUAGAGAAGCAGGCAGAACACAUCAUGAUGUAUCAGUUAUUCUUUUUCAGUAAUUCCUGAAAAAGCAAUCAUUCCAAAAUAUCUGACAAAUUUGACUCCUUUUAAGGGAGGCCUGGAGUCAGUAACAGUUACAGAAUUCUCCUCCAGAAUAUCACUGCUAAGCCUUCAUUUUAGGCAGCCUUUUGUACACUUUGAAUUACUUUUCUAGAUCCCCCCAAUGGGGGGUCAGAAUGUAUAUGGAUGUUUUAAGUACCUAUAAGUAUGCUCUUUACAGGUGAGAUUUCAGGAAACAUAUACACAUGUGCACACACAAUAACAACCUUAAGUUCUAUUUUGUAAGACCUCUUUAUAAACAGAGUCACUUGCUGGCUCUCUACUCUGUUUCUGCACCAAUUCAAAUGAGGGAGCCUAGAAAGGAGCUGGGAUGAUCUCUACGUUGGCUGUGCUUUCCAGGUUUUAUAAGCCACCCCGAGCCUUGGAAACUAUCUUCUAAAAACAAAACUCACUCGUAACUAGUAGUCAUCUUAACUUAAUCAGUUUGCACCUAGUCUUUACACCAGUAGACUAUGUCAUUAAGUAUAACUCAGUACUGAUAAAUGGUAGUGUAGCAUUAAGGCAAAUGGUCCAGAGCUCAUCAAUUAAGAAGAAAGUGUCCAAGGUCAUUCUAGAGGCCCUGGGCCAGUCAAGCAAAGUGGAUUAGCUGUUGAUUUUUUUGAAAGAACUAGAAAAGCUGAUUAGAAAUCUCUGGGGAGAGCCUUCAUGAAGCUCAGUUAUGCCAGGAAAGAAAAGGAUUAAUUUACCUCCAAAUGAUACUCUUAAGUCCAAACAGCAAACAUUUCUGUCCAUGCAUCAGAAUGUGUUGGGCCUACAUGGAACCUACCAUUUAAGCUUUUUCCUCUGAGGAAGUGGAGUUUAUUGGUGGCAUUAACUUUCCUGUCAGAGCAUCAUUCAGUAGCUCUCAAACCUGAACAUGCUCCAGAAUCAUCCCUAAAGGCUUGUCAGAGGCUACACUGCUGGACCCACUUCUAGAAUCUGAUUCACAGGUCUGGGCUGGGCUCUCUGGCAGGACCAGAGAAUUUGCAUAAAUACCAAAUGUCAGGUUAUUGCUGAUACUGUUUUCUUAGGGACCAAAUGUUAAGAAUCAUUGCAGUAGCUUUUUCUAAAACACUCUGUAUAAUCAAAUCACCUUAAUAUGCUCCCGGGACAAAGCUUUUUCCAUGUGGAAGAUGAAGGUCAGUAUUGGACUUUUUUCCCCCUCAGACACUUUGAUAAGGGAGGUGAGGGACAGACCCAACAGAUGCUAAUUUAAUAUUAGGUUCAGAAGUUUAAGUGCCACAUCUGCAUUUGCAGCAAACCGGUAAGUAAAAUGUGACUCAAACUCGUGCUCUAACCUAUGACCUGCUUCUGAAGGGAAUAUUUUUCCAUACCAUUAAAUCUGAGUCUCUCAAAGGCUUUUUGAGAGGGACCGGGGGUGGGGGUGGGUGGGGGCUGAGGGAAAAAGAGAAUCUUAAGCAGACUCCACACCUAGCAU